GUAACGACAACCAGGGAAACGCCUGUCAGGCUUACAGAUCACAGCGCUGCCAGAAUCACCUCACCCGCCUCACCAUGACAUGCUGGAUGAACAUCUUGGGUAUUCUAACUGCAAUCUGUGCAGUGUGUGCAGCAAGUAAAGACAGUGUUAAUCAAACUGAGCCCCGUGUGAUAAGUACUGAGGGAGAAACAGUGACUCUCACCUGUGAAUAUAAGACAACAAGUAACCAGCCUUACCUCUUCUGGUACAAACAGCAACUGGGUACACCAGACUACCUACUGGGACGUGGAAGUUUUGGAACUGGCCAUAACGGCACUGAGUUCAGUGAGAGAUUCCACUGCACAUUCUCCCCCAGCUCUGUUCCUCUGAUCAUCAGGAACCUGCAAAUGUCUGACUCUGCUGUCUACUACUGUGCCCUGCAGCCCACAUGGUAUCGCCAGUAUCCACAAUCAGUCCCUGAGCAUCUUAUGUCCGUUUACACUCUUGAUAAAAAUGAGACAUCACAAAUCGACCCUCACCUGUCUGGAACAAGGACUAAAGAGAAACUCUAUCUGUACCUCUCGUCUGCUGAACUCUCAGACUCUGCUCUCUACUACUGUGCCCUGCAGCCCACAGUGGCUGACAAACACACAUCCCCAUACAAAAACCUGCCAUGA